GGUAGGAUGGCCGAGAUAGGCGGCAGGUUGUAGCCCUGCACAGGCGGGUCUGAGCCCCGCUUCUACCA
rnacentral:tRNA from 1 species